UUUUUUUCACCUACCUGAGGUUUUUCUUGAGGUUUUGGUAAAAGUGGCUUCCCAUCUUUAUCCUGCAGAGAACACAGGCUACUAGUUAACCAUUACUGUGCUAUAUGUAUGCUGUUGCAAUUCUCUAAAAUGUAUACACAUUUAUCGUGUGGUCAGUUCGAAAGUCAGCACUGUGCCCCAUCUGAACAGGCACAGAACUUUAAUAUAGUUUUUACCGAUGUUGGGGGACUGCUUUUGUUUUUUGAUUUUCUUUACCAACUGCAGGCUCUAAAUGGAUUGCCUCCAUUCCUUCUCAGACAAAGAACAUCUUGCUAUGCUGAAUCAUGCCUUCCAUGACCUCCAAACUGGACUGCAGUGACGAGCAACAAGUGGCCCUUUAGAUACUGUGGCCUGUAAUUCCCAUCGGCCUAAGGCUACACUGCCAAUGCUGAGGGGUAAUGGAAGUAGUGGGCCAAAACCCCUGGAGUACUGCACUGACGACUCUACCAGUCCAAAUACACCCACUGGAAAACUAUGCAUUGUCUGUCACAUGGAGGGGCAGUGAAAGGCAAGUGUCAUGAUGUCACAUCACCCAUCUUCCUCAAUGGCACAUCAUCAGCGGAAUGCAAGCCAGUGCUGUUUGUUCAUCUCUAUGAUAACAUGUGGUUUGGGCCUCAGAAAAUCUCACACUGGAACAAUACAAACCUGGAAUGAGUGUUUCCUCUCAGCAAACAUUAUCAAAAAAAACCAAGAGGGAACUCUAGUGUCACACAGCUCUGAGAAAGAAGGAAGGUUUUGUCUCCUUGGAAAGAAACAGACAGUUGCAAGGGGUGGGGGGGCUCUUACCCCCUUGCUCUCCCUUGUCAAUGCUGGUCUGAGUAUAGGAGAAAGUAGUCAUGCAUUCUCUCCUGUUGUUUUGGGUCCCUGUUCCUCAGCUGUUUGCCAGCACAGGCAUCAAAGAAGCAAUUUCCCAUUCUUGGCUUCUCUCAUCCUAAGUACCUUAACCUCUUUUGUGUAACUAGUUGAUCCUGGUUUGCUGCUCUUGGAUAUGUCUUCCCUUGUCAAGAGUGAGCACUGACUGAACUGCCCUCAUCAAAGCAACCCAGUAUUAAUUAGCUCUCUUAUGGUGGGCCCAGUAUGGCAAAAUUUAUGGACACCCAGCAUGGCAGAACACUCUUAAGAUAUGAAAUACACCCAAUUUAAUUUCAUUUAAUUUCCUAAGAUGUGGGGAGCGGGGAGACAAACUUAUAGCAAACUUAUUAGAAAAUUACCAAGACUGGUUUUAAUCUGUACUCUGGAGGAAUUGUAUCAUCACGUUCACCCGCUUUCUUCUCCUUUCUUUCUUUGGCCUUUGGCUGAAUAAAGAGAAUCACAAUGUAUUAACGAAAA